AUGGCUGAGCUCAUGAGGAGGCCCCGCCUGAUUGGGAAGCUACAAGACGAGGUAAGGAGUAUUGUACCCCAGGGACAGGAAAUUGUCAGUGAAGCCGACAUGAACAAUAUGACAUACCUAAGAGCAGUCAUAAAGGAGUCACUCCGACUUCAUCCUGUUGCACCUUUACUUGCUCCACACCUUGCCAUGGCUGACUGCAGUAUUGAUGGGUACAUGAUUCCUGCUGGAACACAUGUCUUCGUCAAUGUAUGGGCCAUUGGUAGAGACUCUAGCUCUUGGGAGGACAGUGAAGAAUUCAUACCUGAAAGAUUUAUAGAGGAAGGCAGUGAUGUGCAUGUCAACUUCAUAGGGAAUAAUUUUAAGCUCUUGCCGUUCGGGGCAGGACGCAGGAUAUGCCCUGGUAUAAACUUCGGAAUCACGACUGUUGAGCUUAUGUUGGCAAACUUGAUGUACCAUUUCGACUGGGAACUGCCAAUAGGGUUUAAGAGGAAAGACAUUGAUAUGACAGAGGUGUUUGGACUAACUGUGCGCCUGAAGGAGAAAUUACUGUUAGUUCCAAAAUCA
rnacentral:rRNA from 1 species